rnacentral:rRNA from 1 species
AUUGAACGCUGGCGGCAGGCCUAACACAUGCAAGUCGAACGAGUGGCGGACGGGUGAGUAAUGUAUGGGAAACUGCCCGAUGGCGGGGGAUAACUACUGGAAACGGUAGCUAAUACCGCAUACCAUCGGAUGUGCCCAUAUGGGAUUAGCUAGUAGGUGGGGUAACGGCUCACCUAGGCGACGAUCCCUAGCUGGUCUGAGAGGAUGACCAGCCACACUGGAACUGAGACACGGCCCAGACUCCUACGGGAGGCAGCAGUGGGGAAUAUUGCACAAUGGGCGCAAGCCGGAUGCAGCCAUGCCGCGUGUAUGAAGAAGGCCUUCGGGUUGUAAAGUACUUUCAGCGGGGAGGCGUUACCCGCAGAAGAAGCACCGGCUAACUCCGUGCCAGCAGCCGCGGUAAUAC